rnacentral:rRNA from 1 species
ACGAGAAAGCCCGCAAGGGUGAGUAAAGUGGCGUACGGGUGAGUAACACGUGGGUAAUCUACCUCUGGGUGAGGAAUAACCCUGGGAAACCGGGGCUAAUACCGCAUAAGCCUGCAAAGGGAAAGGAGCAAUUCGCCGAGAGAGGAGCCCGCGGCUGAUUAGCUAGUUGGUAGGGUAAAGGCCUACCAAGGCGACGAUCGGUAGCCGGCCUGAGAGGGCACACGGCCACACUGGCACUGAAACACGGGCCAGACUCCUACGGGAGGCAGCAGUGGGGAAUCUUGCACAAUGGGGGAAACCCUGAUGCAGCGACGCCGCGUGAGCGAUGAAGCCCUUCGGGGUGUAAAGCUCUUUCGACCGGAACGAUAAUGACGGUACCGGGAGAAGAAGCUGCGGCUAACUACGUGCCAGCAGCCGCGGUAAUACGUAGGCAGCGAGCGUUG